AUAUUAUUUUAGAUAUUAUUAUUUAUUUAUUUAAGGUGAUGGAAAUCAAUGAGUCAUCAAGGUUGCGUGCUUCAAUUACAACAGAAAAUCUUCCUGUUAAAAUACUUGUUCAUCAAAUUCUUACCCCUUCUACUUCUGACAGCAACUUUUGUGCUAUGAAAAGGAAGAUAAGAUCAAGUUCAAUGUAAGUGAAAGAUAAGGAGAAAAUCAAAAUGAAACUACAAGAAGGGUCUGUACCAAUUCGACUAGUGAUUGGCAGUGAGAUUGAUGCUUCUGAUCCAGCAACUUUUACUGUAUCUGCUCCAACAUAAUCAUCAGUUCAACCGAAAGGAAAACGAGAAACCCCCUUGGUUUGAAGAGGAAAUUACCAGAGGGAGAAGGAUCCCAUUUGAAAAAGCAUAUGAAACAUUGUUCUCAGGUCCAACACGCACCAUUACUUUUAAUGUUCAUUUUAUAUUAUGAUAUGUUGGAUUCAGUUAUGAUGUAGUGGAUGUAUAAGGAUAAAUUAAUCAAACUUAGCACAUAUCACAUAUGGUUUAACAUG